AGUUUGAUCCUGGCUCAGGACGAACGCUGGCGGCGUGCUUAACACAUGCAAGUCGAACGGAUCACUGGUCUUCGGGCUGGUGGUGAGUGGCGAACGGGUGAGUAACACGUGGGCAACCAACCCCUCACAUCGGGAUACCCCGGGGAAACUCGGAUCAAUACCGGAUAAUGCGCGGCGCUGUUGGGCGCCGCACCAAAGGUAGCUUCGGCCUCUGGUGAGGGACGGGCCCGCGGCCCAUUAGCUUGUUGGUGGGGUAACGGCCCACCA
rnacentral:rRNA from 1 species